rnacentral:tRNA from 1 species
GUUGGGGUGGCAGAGUUUGGUUAGUGCGUGAGAUCUAAGUCCUUUUUACAGAGGUUCGAAUCCUCUCCUUAACU